UACGUAGGGUGCAAGCGUUAUCCGGAAUUAUUGGGCGUAAAGAGCUCGUAGGCGGUUUGUCGCGUCUGCUGUGAAAACUGGGGGCUCAACCCCCAGCCUGCAGUGGGUACGGGCAGACUAGAGUGCGGUAGGGGGAGAUUGGAAUUCCUGGUGUAGCGGUGGAAUGCGCAGAUAUCAGGAGGAACACCGAUGGCGAAGGCAGAUCUCUGGGCCGUAACUGACGCUGAGGAGCGAAAGCAUGGGGGAGCGAACAGG
rnacentral:rRNA from 1 species